AUUGACCUCGAUCUGGUAGGGAUACCCGCUUGAACUUAAGCAUAUCAAUAA
rnacentral:rRNA from 1 species